UACGGAGGGGGCUAGCGUUGUUCGGAAUUACUGGGCGUAAAGGGCGUGUAGGCGGUCCGCUAAGUCUGAUGUGAAAGCCCGGGGCUCACCCCCGGAAGGGCAUUGGAAACUGACGGACUCGAGUCCCGAAGAGGAGGGUGGAAUUCCUGGUGUAGCGGUGAAAUGCGUAGAUAUCAGGAGGAACACCGGUGGCGAAGGCGGCCCUCUGGACGGUGACUGACGCUGAGACGCGAAAGCGUGGGGAGCAAACAGG
rnacentral:rRNA from 1 species